AACGAACGCUGGCGGCAUGCCUAACACAUGCAAGUCGAACGAAGGCUUCGGCCUUAGUGGCGCACGGGUGCGUAACGCGUGGGGAUCUGCCCUUUGCUUCGGAAUAACAGUUAGAAAUGACUGCUAAUACCGGAUGAUGUCGUAAGACCAAAGAUUUAUCGGCAAAGGAUGAACCCGCGUAGGAUUAGCUAGUUGGUGGGGUAAAGGCCUACCAAGGCGACGAUCCUUAGCCGGUCUGAGAGGAUGAUCAGCCACACUGGGACUGAGACACGGCCCAGACUCCUACGGGAGGCAGCAGUGGGGAAUAUUGGACAAUGGGCGAAAGCCUGAUCCAGCAAUGCCGCGUGAGUGAUGAAGGCCUUAGGGUUGUAAAGCUCUUUUACCCGGGAUGAUAAUGACAGUACCGGGAGAAUAAGCUCCGGCUAACUCCGUGCCAGCAGCCGCCGCGG
rnacentral:rRNA from 1 species